rnacentral:rRNA from 1 species
AUUGAACGCUGGCGGCAGGCCUAACACAUGCAAGUCGAACGAGUGGCGGACGGGUGAGUAAUGUCUGGGAAACUGCCUGAUGGAGGGGGAUAACUACUGGAAACGGUAGCUAAUACCGCAUACCAUCGGAUGUGCCAAGAUGGGAUUAGCUAGUAGGUGGGGUAAAGGCUCACCUAGGCGACGAUCCCUAGCUGGUCUGAGAGGAUGACAAGCCCCACGGGAACUGAUACAAGGGCCAGACUCCGACGGGAGGCAGCCGUGGGGAAUAUUGCACGAUGGGCUCAAGCAUGAUGCAGCCAUGCCGAGUGGAUGAAGAAGGCCGUCGGGGUGUAAAGUACUUUCAGCGGGGAGGCGUUACCCGCAGAAGAAGCACCGGCUAACUCCGUGCCAGCAGCCGCGGUAAUAC